rnacentral:rRNA from 1 species
GGUUAAGCGACUAAGCGUACACGGUGGAUGCCCUGGCAGUCAGAGGCGAUGAAGGACGUGCUAAUCUGCGAUAAGCGUCGGUAAGGUGAUAUGAACCGUUAUAACCGGCGAUUUCCGAAUGGGGAAACCCAGUGUGAUUCGUCACACUAUCAUUAACUGAAUCCAUAGGUUAAUGAGGCGAACCGGGGGAACUGAAACAUCUAAGUACCCCGAGGAAAAGAAAUCAACCGAGAUUCCCCCAGUAGCGGCGAGCGAACGGGGAGCAGCCCAGAGCCUGAAUCAGUGUGUGUGUUAGUGGAAGCGUCUGGAAAGGCGUGCGAUACAGGGUGACAGCCCCGUACACAAAAAUGCACAUACUGUGAGCUCGAUGAGUAGGGCGGGACACGUGGUAUCCUGUCUGAAUAUGGGGGGACCAUCCUCCAAGGCUAAAUACUCCUGACUGACCGAUAGUGAACCAGUACCGUGAGGGAAAGGCGAAAAGAACCCCGGCGAGGGGAGUGAAAAAGAACCUGAAACCGUGUACGUACAAGCAGUGGGAGCACGCUUAGGCGUGUGACUGCGUACCUUUUGUAUAAUGGGUCAGCGACUUAUAUUCUGUAGCAAGGUUAACCGAAUAGGGGAGCCGAAGGGAAACCGAGUCUUAACUGGGCGUUAAGUUGCAGGGUAUAGACCCGAAACCCGGUGAUCUAGCCAUGGGCAGGUUGAAGGUUGGGUAACACUAACUGGAGGACCGAACCGACUAAUGUUGAAAAAUUAGCGGAUGACUUGUGGCUGGGGGUGAAAGGCCAAUCAAACCGGGAGAUAGCUGGUUCUCCCCGAAAGCUAUUUAGGUAGCGCCUCGUGAAUUCAUCUCCGGGGGUAGAGCACUGUUUCGGCAAGGGGGUCAUCCCGACUUACCAACCCGAUGCAAACUGCGAAUACCGGAGAAUGUUAUCACGGGAGACACACGGCGGGUGCUAACGUCCGUCGUGAAGAGGGAAACAACCCAGACCGCCAGCUAAGGUCCCAAAGUCAUGGUUAAGUGGGAAACGAUGUGGGAAGGCCCAGACAGCCAGGAUGUUGGCUUAGAAGCAGCCAUCAUUUAAAGAAAGCGUAAUAGCUCACUGGUCGAGUCGGCCUGCGCGGAAGAUGUAACGGGGCUAAACCAUGCACCGAAGCUGCGGCAGCGACGCUUAUGCGUUGUUGGGUAGGGGAGCGUUCUGUAAGCCUGUGAAGGUGUGCUGUGAGGUAUGCUGGAGGUAUCAGAAGUGCGAAUGCUGACAUAAGUAACGAUAAAGCGGGUGAAAAGCCCGCUCGCCGGAAGACCAAGGGUUCCUGUCCAACGUUAAUCGGGGCAGGGUGAGUCGACCCCUAA